rnacentral:rRNA from 1 species
AUUGAACGCUGGCGGCAGGCUUAACACAUGCAAGUCGAGCGGGGUGAUGGUGCUUGCACUAUCACUUAGCGGCGGACGGGUUAGUAAUGCUUAGGAAUCUGCCUAUUAGUGGGGGACAACAUCUCGAAAGGGAUGCUAAUACCGCAUACGUCCUACGGGAGAAAGCAGGGGAUCACUUGUGACCUUGAGCUAAUAGAUGAGCCUAAGUCGGAUUAGCUAGUUGGUGGGGCAAAGGCCUACCAAGGCGACGAUCUGUAGCGGGUCUGAGAGGAUGAUCCGCCACACUGGGACUGAGACACGGCCCAGACUCCUACGGGAGGCAGCAGUGGGGAAUAUUGGACAAUGGGGGGAACCCUGAUCCAGCCAUGCCGCGUGUGUGAAGAAGGCCUUAUGGUUGUAAAGCACUUUAAGCGAGGAGGAGGCUCUUUUGGUUAAUACCCAAGAUGAGUGGACGUUACUCGCAGAAUAAGCACCGGCUAACUCUGUGCCAGCAGCCGCCGUAA